GUGAACGCUGGCGGUAGGCCUAACCCAUGCAAGUCGAACGGCAGCACAGUAGGAGCUUGCUCUUACGGGUGGCGAGUGGCGGACGGGUGAGGAAUACAUCGGAAUCUACUUUUUCGUGGGGGAUAACGUAGGGAAACUUACGCUAAUACCGCAUACGACCUACGGGUGAAAGCAGGGGAUCUUCGGACCUUGCGCGAUUGAAUGAGCCGAUGUCGGAUUAGCUAGUUGGCGGGGUAAAGGCCCACCAAGGCGACGAUCCGUAGCUGGUCUGAGAGGAUGAUCAGCCACACUGGAACUGAGACACGGUCCAGACUCCUACGGGAGGCAGCAGUGGGGAAUAUUGGACAAUGGGCGCAAGCCUGAUCCAGCCAUACCGCGUGGGUGAAGAAGGCCUUCGGGUUGUAAAGCCCUUUUGUUGGGAAAGAAAAGCAGCAGGUUAAUACCCCGCUGUUCUGACGGUACCCAAAGAAUAAGCACCGGCUAACUUCGCG
rnacentral:rRNA from 1 species